rnacentral:rRNA from 1 species
CCUACGGGAGGCAGCAGUGGGGAAUUUUGGACAAUGGGCGAAAGCCUGAUCCAGCCAUGCCGCGUGCAGGAUGAAGGCCUUCGGGUUGUAAACUGCUUUUGUACGGAACGAAACGGUCUCUUCUAAUAAAGGGGGCUAAUGACGGUACCGUAAGAAUAAGCACCGGCUAACUACGUGCCAGCAGCCGCGGUAAUACGUAGGGUGCAAGCGUUAAUCGGAAUUACUGGGCGUAAAGCGUGCGCAGGCGGUUAUAUAAGACAGUUGUGAAAUCCCCGGGCUCAACCUGGGAACUGCAUCUGUGACUGUAUAGCUAGAGUACGGUAGAGGGGGAUGGAAUUCCGCGUGUAGCAGUGAAAUGCGUAGAUAUGCGGAGGAACACCGAUGGCGAAGGCAAUCCCCUGGACCUGUACUGACGCUCAUGCACGAAAGCGUGGGGAGCAAACAGGAUUAGAUACCCUGGUAGUCCACGCCCUAAACGAUGUCAACUGGUUGUUGGGUCUUCACUGACUCAGUAACGAAGCUAACGCGUGAAGUUGACCGCCUGGGGAGGUACGGCCGCGAGUAGUAACGUAAAGUAAGUAGUACGGCGUGAGACGUCGCCGACGGACGACGACGAGGGAGGAGG